UGGGGAAUAUUGGACAAUGGGGGCAACCCUGAUCCAGCCAUGCCGCGUGGGUGAAGAAGGCCUUAGGGUUGUAAAACCCUUUCAGCGGGGAAGAUGAUGACGGUACCCGCCGAAGAAACCCCGGCUAACUCCGUGCCAGCAGCCGCGGUAAUACGGAGGGGGUUAGCGUUGUUCGGAAUUACUGGGCGUAAAGCGCGCGUAGGCGGACUGUUAAGUCGGGGGUGAAAUCCCGGGGCUCAACCCCGGAACUGCCUUCGAUACUGGCAGUCUAGAGUUCGAGAGAGGUGAGUGGAAUUCCGAGUGUAGAGGUGAAAUUCGUAGAUAUUCGGAGGAACACCAGUGGCGAAGGCGGCUCACUGGCUCGAUACUGACGCUGAGGUGCGAAAGUGUGGGGAGCAAACAGGAUUAGAUACCCGCGUAGUCC
rnacentral:rRNA from 1 species